rnacentral:rRNA from 1 species
UGCGUAGGUGGUGAGGUAAGUCGGAUGUGAAAGCUCGGAGCUCAACUCCGAAAUGGCAUUGGAAACUACCUUGCUCGAGGGUUGGAGGGGGGACUGGAAUACUUGGUGUAGCAGUGAAAUGCGUAGAUAUCAAGUGGAACACCAGUGGCGAAGGCGAGUCCCUGGACAACUCCUGACACUGAGGCACGAAAGCUAGGGGAGGCAAACA